CCUUGUACACACCGCCCGUCACACCAUGGGAGUCAAUUGCUCCAGAAGUCGGUGCGCUACAGCGCCGCCCAAGGAGUGAUUGGUAACUGGGGUG
rnacentral:rRNA from 1 species